rnacentral:misc_RNA from 1 species
CAUCCUUUUUGAUAUCCUAAUUUCCUGUUUCACCAACUUUUUUGAUUUUCUAUAAUCUUCUAAAUCUCCUGUCAUGACAGUCAAUUUAAAUGACACACAAAAACCAAUAUUUAGGUGUUUUUACUAAUGUUUACUAUUAAAUUAAGAAAUUAAAUAAUACUAAAAUUUGAAUUAUAAUCUACAAUUUGAUACUAAACAUAUUGAUAUCUAUUCAUAAAAUACUAGUACAAUAACAUUUUUGAUGCUAGUUAACAAAUGUGAUGACAUGGCCUUUGACCCAUGACCCAUGUGGAUAGAGUUAAUCUCCAUUCAUCUCACGUGGUAAAGAAAAAAUUCUCAAAACACAUAAAUUAGGAGAGCGAGACGUGGGCACUCAAACCCACAAUAUCCCGCAUCAAUAUCACCCUUCACAGCAUCCAGACAGUUGUGGGAAAGUGACUGCUCUCCAAAGUAAUAAGAUAGAAUAAACAGGAAAAAGAAAAAUAAGGUUAUACCACUGGGUGUAAAUUUACAUCCUAAUGUUGACAUUCCAGCCUCCAUUAUUAGUAAACAAGUGAAUUAGAACUACUGUAGACAAAUGAUACAUGUAUAAAAGCCAAACCAACUUAUCUAAACUAGUAUAACUUCCAACCACCACCCAGUACUUUACAUGUAUAGUUUACAUGUAAUUACCAAUUUUCAGACUUUAUCCGAGUUUCUAUUUUGUGAUAAGGUGUUCAUUCAUAUAAACAGAUUGUUUAAACAACUAAAAAUACUUAUUGAAACUUAAUGUAGAGACUUCAUCUUUACUUCUUAAUAUUUACUUAAUACAUUUUCAUAUUUAUAACAAAAUGUUUAAUAAUUUUAUUCAAUGUUUCAUUAUUGUAUAUAUAACAGGAACUUUUAAAAUAUUAACAUUAAUCAACAUGUUAGAAUGUUUCAUGAUGAUCAAUCAAGUAAGAAGAAAAAAUGUGAAACUAUGAAAAUUGUUAUAUCUAUUUUUUUGCCUUUAAUGUUUCAGUAUCUGUGUUGAUUGUAUUAGAACUUCACCAAAUAAAGUGAUAUACAUCGGUUAUUAACUAUGAUUGUUGUAUUAUGUAUUUUGAUUUUAGAUAUAAAGACUGGUGUGACAAUCUGUUGUGGAAGUCAGUUUCCUGAAUCUCGUGUUUUAUUACAAGAAGAUCCCUUUACAAAAGACAUCAACUCUCCAAAACCAAGUGAUAUAUGUGAAAAGAAUUUAAAUAUAAAUAACCUAAAACAAUCUGAUAUACACCACGGUAUAGAUAAACCACACAGUCAGGUAAUCUGUGAAAAACUAUCUGUAACGGUGGAUUAUGGAAAGCAAGACACAAGGAUACAUUCUGAAGAGAAUCCAUAUCUUUGUAUAGUGUGUGGAAAGAACUUUGGAAGAAACUAUAGCUUAAAAUUACAUGAGAGAAUACACACCGGGGAGAAACCUUACAGUUGUACGAUUUGUGGAAAACUCUUUGUAACAAAUGGUAGCUUAAAAACGCAUCAGAGAAUACAUACUGGGGAGAAACCUUACACUUGUGCACUUUGUGGAAAACACUUUGGAACAAGUAGUAGCUUAAAAAAGCAUGAAAGAAUACACACUGGGGAGAAACCUUACAGUUGUGUAGUUUGUGGAAAAGACUUUUUAACAAAUGAUGAACUAAAAAUACACCAAAGACUGCAUACUGGAGAGAAACCUUACUGUUGUGCAAUUUGUGGAAAAGACUUUAGAACAAAUGCUGAAUUAAAAAUGCAUCAAAGAAUACACACUGGGGAGAAACCUCACUGUUGUGCAAUUUGUGGAAAAUACUUUAGAACAAAUGGUGAAUUAAAACUGCAUCAAAGAACGCAUACUGGAGAGAAACCUUACCAUUGUGAUGUUUGUGAAAAACAGUUUGGACGUAAUUCUUAUUUACAGUAUCAUAAAAGAAUACAUACUGGGGAGAAACCAUAUAGUUGUGAAGUGUGUGGAAAUAAAUUUACAACAAACUGUUCCUUAAAAUAUCAUCAAAAGACACAUACUGGGGAGAAACCUUACUGUUGUGCAAGUUGUGGAAAAUACUUUAGAACAAAUGCUGAAUUAAAAAAACAUGAAAGAAGACAUACUGGGGAGAAACCAUACAGUUGUGAAGUUUGUGAAAAGCAAUUUUCAAAAAAGAAUGUAAAUAAAAAUAAUACUUAUAGUACACACUGAAGAGAAACUAUACAGUUUUGCAGUUUGUGGAAAACCAUUUGGAACAAAUAAUAAAUUAAAAAUUAUUCAGAGAAUACACACUUGAGAAAAACAAUACUGUUGUCUACUUUUUGGAAAGC